rnacentral:rRNA from 1 species
UACGGAGGGUGCAAGCGUUGUCCGGAAUCACUGGGCGUAAAGGGCGCGUAGGCGGCCUGAUAAGUAGGGGGUGAAAUCCUGAGGCUUAACCUCAGGGCUGCCUUCUAAACUGUCGGGCUCGAGCACAGUAGAGGCAGGUGGAAUUCCCGGUGUAGCGGUGGAAUGCGUAGAGAUCGGGAAGAACAUCAGUGGCGAAGGCGGCCUGCUGGGCUGUUGCUGACGCUGAGGCGCGACAGCGUGGGGAGCAAACAGG